UUCCCUAAGAAUCCAAAGCUUCACGAAUUGUGGAGGAAUGCCUGCAAAAUUGAGGAUCCUAAUUUACUUUUAAGUUUCUUAUUUGCGCUCGAGUGUGUCAGUGCACUGCAUGUACCUCCUCGUGGUCGUAGCGCGGGCAACUGUUUGCUGACAGACAAGGUAAAAGUCAUUGCAAAGAAGGCCUUAUUUUGUUUUAAGUCUGGAGCAGACAGGCAAAACAUGCCAACACUGACUGAUUCAAUUUUUUGAUAAUUUUUGUAUAAUUAAGAAAUAAUACAAUACUUUAAUUUUUUGAAAAAUUUAAUUUGUUAUGUUACUCAAGUGUGCAAUAAAAAUGUUAACAAAA